GGAACCAAAUGUCAAAACAUAAGGGAAAGCCUCUGAGGAGGACAGCUAAAAAUAACUUUCCUUCACUAUUCCAUGAUACUCUGGGCGCAGGCUUAGCAAAUAGCCUGUUGCCUCGUUCCUGUAGAAGCCCACUCCAUAGUCACAGUAGGCACUGACAAUCCAACAGGACAUUCCUUCUCCCGGGACCUGAGCUGGGGGUCAUCAUCCUUCUCAUCACAACCAAACACUUCAGGAGUGAAAUAUGAAGCCUGGUCUCCAGCUGAGAAUGAGGAUGGAGUAGGAGAAGCUGGUGGUUUUUUGAGGGACAAGAAGGCUGGAAUGCAGAGGCACAAUCAUAGCUCUGCAGCCUCAACUUCCUGGCUGGGCUCAAGUGAUCCUCUCACCUCAGCCUCCUGAGCAACUGGGACUACAGGCAAGAGCUACCAUGCCUGGCUGUGUGUGUGUGUGUGUGUGUGUGUGUGUGUGUGUGUGUGUAGACAAAUUCUCACUAUUUGCACAGGCUGGUCUCAAACCCCUGGACUCAAGCAGUCCUCCUGCCUCAGCUUCAUAAAGUGCUGGGAUUACAGGUGUGAGUCACUGCACCUGUCUGAAUUUAAUUUUUAUUUUAUAGAGUGAGGACAUACAAGGUUUGAAUGGAACUUAAAGAAUGCAUAAAAUAUUCUCUAUGAAAAUCUAUGGAGUUGAGAGAGAGCAUUAGAAAAAAUACCUGAUGCAUGUUGGCUUAAUACCUAGGUGAUAGGUUGAUAGGUGCAGCAGAUCACCAUGGAACACAUUUACCUGUGUUAACAAACCUGCACAUCUUGCACUUGUACACCAGAUCUUAAAAUUUAAAAAAUAAAUUAAAAAGAAAGAAAGAAAAAUAUCUGCUUAGUGGUAUGGCACAUAUUACUGUUGGUUUACUUAAGACCACCUCCAUCUAUUCUUUCUCAACCUGGAACCCUUGGGAAUCUAUCCCUCAGGACCAUGUAGAGUCAUGUCAGACUUGAUGGAAAGAACCACCUUUCCGUUGAAUACACCUAGGGUAAAACACCUAGAGCAAUGGACCUAGAGCUGGGUACAAAACUGAAUGAAAUGUUGAGAUGUCUCCCUUUAAGCAGCAAAUAAAUACAUUUCAUGUAGAGAUAUAUUCAUCCAGUUACUGGAUAACCUCCAGGGAAAGGGAACUCAAAAUAGACCACUCCAUUCCUGGUAAGCUCUGAAUGUUAGGAAAUAUUUUCAUUAUAAACAGCUGAGUAUUAGUCAUGAAACUUUCAGUUAAAAGUCACAGCUCUUCCACUCAAAUUUUCAUGAUUUUUAAGAAUGGAGUAAUUGAAAAGUCCACCAGAAAUGUUUACCCACAGCUGAAUCCAGCAAUUCGAUGGCCCUGGGAAGACUACCUGACCUGAUGUGUGCCACACAUACAUCUGUCAUCCAAUCACUACAGCUAGGAGCAUGGAGGAUUCUGACCCACCAGUUUCUGGUCAAACACUCAUUCCUAGGGACUAAGUAGGUGGGGUGAAAGGAAUAAGCUCCCCUUAACCACAGGG
rnacentral:lncRNA from 1 species